GACGAACGCUGGCGGCGCGCUUAACACAUGCAAGUCGAGCGAAGCGGCGGACGGGUGAGUAACACGUGAGUAACCUGCCUUAGACAUUGGGAUAGCCUCGGGAAACCGGGAUUAAUACCAAAUGGUCUAAGAUGGACUCGCGUCCCAUUAGCUAGUUGGUGGGUAACGGCCCCACAAGGCGACGAUGGGUGGCCGGCCGGGUAUGGGGAACGGCCACAGUGGAACUGAGAAACGGUCCAAACUCUACGGGAGGCAGCAGUGGGGAAUAGUGCACAAUGGAGGGAACUCUGAUGCAGCGACGCCGCGUGAACGAAGAAGGCUGUCGAGUCGUAAAGUUCUUUUAUAUGGGAAGCGGUACCAUAAGAAAAAGCCCCGGCUAACUACGUGCCAGCCGCCGCGGUAAUUC
rnacentral:rRNA from 1 species